rnacentral:rRNA from 1 species
UGGGGAAUAUUGCACAAUGGAGGGAACUCUGAUGCAGCGACGCCGCGUGAACGAAGAAGGCUUUCGAGUCGUAAAGUUCUUUUAUAUGGGAAGAUAAUGACGGUACCAUAAGAAAAAGCCCCGGCUAACUACGUGCCAGCAGCCGCGGUAAUACGUAGGGGGCUAGCGUUGUCCGGAAUCACUGGGCGUAAAGGGUUCGCAGGCGGAAAUGCAAGUCAGGUGUAAAAGGCAGUAGCUUAACUACUGUAAGCAUUUGAAACUGCAUAUCUUGAGAAGAGUAGAGGUAAGUGGAAUUUUAGUGUAGCGGUGAAAUGCGUAGAUAUUAAAAAGAAUACCGGUGGCGAAGGACUUACUGGGCUCAUUCUGACGCUGAGGAACGAAAGCGUGGGUAGCAAACAGG